UGUUUCAGAUGGUAAAGAAUCUGCCUGCAAUGCAGAAGACCCAGGUUCGAUCCCUGG
rnacentral:tRNA from 1 species